rnacentral:tRNA from 1 species
UGUAUUGUAGCUCAGGGGUAGAGCGCUUGCCUAGCUGUAUGAGGCCCUGGGUUCAGUCCCAAGCACCACAU